rnacentral:rRNA from 1 species
GACGUAGGGCGCGAGCGUUGUCCGGAUUUAUUGGGCGUAAAGAGCUCGUAGGCGGCUUGUCGCGUCGACUGUGAAAACCCGCGGCUCAACUGCGGGCCUGCAGUCGAUACGGGCAGGCUAGAGUUCGGUAGGGGAGACUGGAAUUCCUGGUGUAGCGGUGAAAUGCGCAGAUAUCAGGAGGAACACCGGUGGCGAAGGCGGCUCACUGGCCCGUAACUGACGCUCAGGCGCGAUAGCGUGGGGAUCAAACAGG